rnacentral:sRNA from 1 species
AGAAUCCAAGUGGAUGUAAGCAACCACAGAGAACAGCAAGGCGACCCUGGGGCCACCACAAGAAAGAAACAGCUGGGAUUCAAUAAAUUAUUAUCUUUAAGCUCUUAUUUUGGCCUUCGUAUUAACAACAUGACUGUAAUGCUGCUGAAAACAAUGUUGCCAGAUUGUCUCAUACACUUUUCUUCUCCUGAGAUCUCCUUGGACUGCGGGGCUGCUUAUGACAAAUAUGAGCUGUGUAUAAGUCUGAACAACUUUGGAUGUAAAGCCCUCAGGACUUUGGCUGAGACUCCGG